AUCCGGGAGAGAUCGUCCCGACCUGCAAUAUUUGCAGAUGUGACGGCGCCGAAGGUGCAACCGCCCCGGAAACUCUCAGGCAAAAUGACUGGAUCGG
rnacentral:ncRNA from 1 species